GUGAUUACUGUAGUUUAAUGAACUUCUGAAAAUACCAAUUUCUGUCCUCUCUUCUUUUCAGCAAUUACACAAUGCCAUGAAACCUUCUCUUCCGUGUUCAAUUAGAAGCCUCACGCAGCUCCGCAAACACAAACGCAUAAUCUCUCUCCCUGAGUCCUUGAUUGCCUUCACCUCGCCUCUCAUCCGUGUUCGAAAUUGAAGCUUCAAUCCUUGAUUGCUGGCUGCUUGGCAAUUUGAAAAAGAGGAAGCAUCUUUAAGAACUCCAAACUUUUGAGUUCUUAUCAAGUUCCACUAGUGAGCAUUCCGAGGAAUUGACAUUGAGGAGAACUGGGAUAAGGUUAAGACCAUAUUUGUCCCAACGGGAGCUUCCCUUUCACCAGAUGUAUCUGCUCCACUUGUUGCCACCCUUCCCUUGGAGGUAAUACCUUUG